GAGCUUGUAGCUCAGUCGGUUAGAGCGCCAGGUUGUGGUCCUGGAGGCCAUGGGUUCGAAUCCCAUCAGGCUCC
rnacentral:tRNA from 1 species